AUGCCCGGAUCCGGCUUUGCCUCAUCCCCAUCUCCCCUUUUUCCCGCAGGGCUCCGGGCGGCCGUGACCCUGCUGGAGUCCGGGGGGGACCUCCAGCCCCCCGGGGGGUCCCUGCGCCUCCUCUGCCGCGGGGAUGGAUUCACAUUCGGGAAUUUCGGGAUGUUGUGGAUACGCCAGAAACCCGGGAAGGCGCUGGAAUACGUUGCAGGGAUCUACAACGGUGGCAGCACCGCGUACGCGCCGUCGGUGCAGGGCCGGUUCAGCAUCGCCAGGGACAACGGGCAGAGCUCGGUGACGCUGAGCAUGAACAACCUCCAGGACGAGGAUUCCGGCGUUUAUUUCUGUGCCAAAAAAUUUGAUGCUGGUGCGGCUGAAAAUGCUGGUGUUGGUGACGAUUCCGGUGGCCAUCCCAGUCCCCCAUGCUGGAUCCCCAAAUGUCCCACAAUACCCAAAUCCUGCCCCAAUCGCAGCCCUGGGCCCCAAAUCUGGGCCCUUUCACCCCAAACUCCGCCCCUGCUGCCCCCACUCUCCCCUUUCAGCCGGGGCCAGAGCGAGCCCGGCUGGGGAUAA